GACGAACGCUGGCGGCGUGCCUAAUACAUGCAAGUAGGACGCAGUUGCGAACGGGUGAGUAACGCGUAGGUAACUACCUAUCAGAGGGGGGUAACUAUUGGAAACGAUAGCUAAUACCGCAUACUAGUAGAUGGACCUGCGUUGUAUUAGCUAGUAGGUAGGGUAAUGGACUACGUAUGCAACGAUACAUAGCCGACCUGAGAGGGUGGUCGGCCACACCUGGACUGAGACACGUCCCCGACUUCUGCGGGAGGCAGAAGGAGGGAAUCGUCGGCAAGGGAGGGAACCCUGACCCAGCAACGCCGCGUGAGGGAAGAAGGUUUUCGGAUCGUAAAGCGCUGUUGUUAAGGAAGCGGUACUUAACCAGAAAGGGACGGCUAACUACGUGCCAGCAGCCGCGGUAAUAC
rnacentral:rRNA from 1 species